rnacentral:rRNA from 1 species
GAUGAACGCUGGCGGCGUGCCUAAUACAUGCCAGUCGAGCGAACGGACGAGAAGCUUGCUUCUCUGAUGUUAGCGGCGGACGGGUGAGUAACACGUGGAUAACCUACCUAUAAGACUGGGAUAACUUCGGGAAACCGGAGCUAAUACCGGAUAAUAUUUUGAACCGCAUGGUUCAAAAGUGAAAGACGGUCUUGCUGUCACUUAUAGAUGGAUCCGCGCUGCAUUAGCUAGCUGGUAAGGUAACGGCUUACCAAGGCAACGAUGCAUAGCCGACCUGAGAGGGUGAUCGGCCACACUGGAACUGAGACACGGUCCAGACUCCUACGGGAGGCAGCAGUAGGGAAUCUUCCGCAAUGGGCGAAAGCCUGACGGAGCAACGCCGCGUGAGUGAUGAAGGUCUUCGGAUCGUAAAACUCUGUUAUUAGGGAAGAACAUAUGUGUAAGUAACUGUGCACAUCUUGACGGUACCUAAUCAGAAAGCCACGGCUAACUACGUG